rnacentral:rRNA from 1 species
CAAACCAAAGCUGGCGACCGGCGCACGGGUGAGUAACACGUAUCCAACCUGCCUCAUACUCGGGGAUAGCCUUUCGAAAGAAAGAUUAAUAUCCGAUAGCAUAUAUUUCCCGCAUGGGUUUUAUAUUAAAGAAAUUCGGUAUGAGAUGGGGAUGCGUUCCAUUAGUUUGUUGGGGGGUAACGGCCCACCAAGACUACGAUGGAUAGGGGUUCUGAGAGGAAGGUCCCCCCCAUUGGAACUGAGACACGGUCCAA